rnacentral:snoRNA from 1 species
AUAGCCCUGGCUGAAGACCAGCAGUUACACUUUAGCUAUUGGUUUCAAGCAGAGGCCUAAAAAACUUUAUCUUCUAUGGUUUGUUGGCUGUUCUGGUACCUUGGUGGAGAAUGGUUGUUUCAUUUGGAAGAAACAAUC